CAACUUUACCAACAGGCAGAGUCACUGGCCUGUCUUACCCUGCACCCUGAACCAACUGCCCACACCCCCUCUGAUCUGGGUCCAGGGUAGGGAGAGGCCAGGGACAGGCUUGGCUUUGGGUUCUCUGGCCCCUGGUGGACGUGGCCUUGGGCAGAAAGGUUGAGUGGUGCUUUUGGAGCUAUGUUCCCAUUUCUUUCCUAAAUUAGUUCUGGCUCGGGGUUCCGUACACAAUAGAUUCAGUACCUGGUUGCUGAAUGAAUGAAUGAAUGAAUGGGAGAGGGUACACCAGGGAGCAGGGUUUGACGUGGCCAGUGGGCUUGGGGAGUGUGGCUUGCCGAGCUGCUGUUUACGGGAAGGGAGGGGAGGCGAGCAGGACGCUGGCCCCUCUCUGACCACGCUCGCAGCUGCAGCAGCAGCGAGGGAUUUCAAAGCCUCCUCCUUGCAUGUGUGUGGCAGUGGUGCUGCUGGCUUCCCCAGGGCAGAGUUCAGGAGGAGUCCACGAGAGGCCUGAACUAUGUUUCUCCGGCCUGUCUGGCUGCUUCUCACGCCUCUCCGACCAGAGCUGGGAUGCAUGGAUCCAUGAUAGCUUCUGCCUCAGCCUUUCCCUGCUCUCAUCAUUCCUGCCAUCCUCCAUCCAACCCCGAGGGUCCUCCCAGACUGCUCAUCUACCCCCCAACCACUCCCCUGAACACACGUCCCUGGUGUUGGAAAUCCCCACAGAAUUCAUGCCCCAAAGCCGUGGUUAUCAUCUCGAUGUCGCAUAGGAGGAAAUGAAGGCCGAGGACUCCAGAGAUUCGUCCAAGCUCAAGGUCAACCAGUGACAAAGUCGGAGCUGAACCCAGAUCCCAUGCUGGGUGGUGGGAAGAGUGAUUUGGCUUUGACGGCUCUAGUACAGGACGGCUUGCUCUGCCACCUGCCACCCUCCAUCGAAUCCCCUCCGAGGGUCCUCCCAGGACUGCUCCUCCACCCCUAACUAAUGUCCUAAUACUGGGCCUCUGCCUCAUCAGCGUUCCCUGCCACCCGACACUCUGGGUGCGGCACCAUUUUAAUGCACGGCUCCUGUCUUUCAGGAGCCCUUGCUUGGUUGAAGCAAUCAGACCACUCACACACAGAAAGGGAUCCCACAGAGCAGAACGCAGGAAGCGCUCCUGGUGCGUGGAAGGCGUGAGUAGGGCCUGGCAGCUCAAUGGCUUCUGGGGGAAGGUGGCGCCCACUCUGGGCUGGUGAAGAAGACGGGCCGCCAGGAAGCAGCGCAGGGGAAGCCGGGCAUUCGGGCCACGGCAAACAUGUUUAUUAUUACUCCUAUUUCACAAAGUGAACAUGAGACCCAUGACUAACUCUCUGAGGAAUGGGCGGGUGAGGACUCCGAGGAGAGGGGACGGGGGAAGGCAGGUGUCUCAGCAGCCAAGGGAGGCGCCCGUUUCAAGGAGGAGG
rnacentral:lncRNA from 1 species